UCUCUGGUAGUAUAUCGGUUAGUACACGCGCCUGUCAUAUGUAUGGAGUAUAGGCUCUGCGCGCGAAAGCUGGGUUCGACUCCCAGCCAGAGAG